UACGGAGGAUGCAAGCGUUAUCCGGAAUGAUUGGGCGUAAAGCGUCCGCAGGUGGCAAUGUAAGUCUGCUGUCAAAGCGUCUGGCUCAACCAGAUAAAGGCAGUGGAAACUACAUAGCUAGAGUAAGGUAGGGGUAGAGGGAAUUCCUGGUGUAGCGGUGAAAUGCGUAGAGAUCAGGAAGAACACCGGUGGCGAAAGCGCUCUGGGACGGUACUGACGCUGAGGAGCGAAAGCGUGGGGAGCGAACAGG
rnacentral:rRNA from 1 species